rfam:Pilibacter termitis strain ATCC BAA-1030 genome assembly, contig: EI49DRAFT_scaffold00021.21
UGAGUGUUAUGAUGGUGGGAAUUUUCCCUAGUCUAGCUCUGAGCUUCUCCGGGUCAACAGACUCGGAG